rnacentral:sRNA from 1 species
GUCCCCUAUGAUGUUGGUAUGCAAGCGGAUAUGUUAACGCUUUUGGAGGAAUCUCCUGAAAAAUAAUUCCAGUCAGGUCAUUUAUUUCAUACACAUGUUCCCUUCAUGCACUACUUAAAAUCACAUAUUAGAACGGCCCAGCCACUUGGGCUGAAACUUCUGGUCUGUUACCUUUCUCUUGCGGAUAUCCAACCCCCUUGCAUAAGCGCUUUGAAGCUGUUAGCAGGGGAAAAUCCGCUGAUAACUACAACUACUACAAUAAACUGAGGUGGUCAGCGCAAAAAUCUGUUCCUUGUUCAUUUGUCCAACGUUAGUCAGGGUUAAUAGACUCUACGCUGUGGGCAACUUGGUUUGCGCUGUAUCAUUUACCUCAACAGGAUUUUCACCUAUGUGAACAUUAACUUUUCCCUCUAUCAUGUCAGUUCCUAGACUGCCUUUUAUCUUCAGUCGUAUCAUACGUCUCUGCACCUGAGGACAUAUGCAUGCAGACUUCAAUUUGAACGCAGAAUCCUAGUCUUCCGGGCGAGAAGUUGUGACGAAACGCCAAAAGCUAGCUGAGGACAUCAAAGCAAACGAAAUAAACCCUCCACUCUAUUUAAUCUUGAUCAGUGCGGGGCAACUAGCUUCCCGAGACUGGAUUCGAACAACAAAUAUGUCUUUUAAUCCCAUCUGGGGUCAUUAGGCUGGAUCCAGUAGCCAGGGCGGUCGUGGGCACAGCCACAGUGCUGGAAAUAUGUAUCUGUCCCCCAAGCUUGACCAAACACUUCGCACCCGAAGGUAACUUACACCAAAAUGCACUGAAGGACGGCUUGUUUCAAUUCAUAUUCGGCUAUAGUACACAGUGUUGUGAGUCUCUGAUGGUCAUAUAAUCGCACCAUCUUCAUCUGAGUAUUGUCAUCAAAACUGGUUGAAUCAUCAGACGCAAAGCGGCCAAGGAUUUAAGAAGGGAUAUGCAUGGAGCACUGAUGGUGGGGUCGCUCACAUCACGAUGACAAUCUAUUCAGCCUGCAUAUUUGCCGGUUGAUUCUGUCGACCUUCGGGGAGUUGGUGGGUUUCAUGCGCAGCCGCGGAAGACUAACCAGAUGCUGAACGCCUGUGCGGAUUUCC